rnacentral:rRNA from 1 species
GACGAACGCUGGCGGCGUGCUUAACACAUGCAAGUCGAACGGAAAGGUCCUGCUUUUGUGGGGUGCUCGAGUGGCGAACGGGUGAGUAACACGUGAGUAACCUGCCCUUGACUUUGGGAUAACUUCAGGAAACUGGGGCUAAUACCGGAUAGGAGCUCCUGCUGCAUGGUGGGGGUUGGAAAGUUUCGGCGGUUGGGGAUGGACUCGCGGCUUAUCAGCUUGUUGGUGGGGUAGUGGCUUACCAAGGCUUUGACGGGUAGCCGGCCUGAGAGGGUGACCGGCGACAUUGGGACUGAGAUACGGCCCAGACGCGUACGGGAGGCAGCAGUGGGGAAUAUUGCACAAUGGGCGGAAGCCUGAUGCAGCAACGCCGCGUGCGGGAUGACGGCCUUCGGGUUGUAAACCGCUUUCGACUGUGACGAAGCGGGAGUGACGGUAAUGGGUAAAGAAGCACCGGCUAACUACGUG